rnacentral:rRNA from 1 species
ACGAACGCUGGCGGCGUGCUUAACACAUGCAAGUCGAGCGGUAAGGCCCUUUCGGGGGUACACGAGCGGCGAACGGGUGAGUAACACGUGGGUGACCUGCCCUCAGCUCUGGGAUAAGCCUGGGAAACCGGGUCUAAUACUGGAUAUGACUCCAUGACGCAUGUUGUGGGGUGGAAAGCCUUGUGCGGCUGAGGAUGGGCCCGCGGCCUAUCAGCUUGUUGGUGGGGUGAGGCCUACCAAGGCGACGACGGGUAGCCGGCCUGAGAGGGCGACCGGCCACACUGGGACUGAGACACGGCCCAGACUCCUACGGGAGGCAGCAGUGGGGAAUCUUGCGCAAUGGGCGAAAGCCUGACGCAGCGACGCCGCGUGAGGGAUGACGGCCUGGUGUAACUCUU